rnacentral:rRNA from 1 species
CCGGCACGGGUGAGUAACACGUAUCCAACCUGCCGUCUACUCUUGGCCAGCCUUCUGAAAGGAAGAUUAAUCCAGGAUGACAUCAUGAGUUCACAUGUCCGCAUGAUUAAAGGUAUUUUCCGGUAGACGAUGGGGAUGCGUUCCAUUAGAUAGUAGGCGGGGUAACGGCCCACCUAGUCAACGAUGGAUAGGGGUUCUGAGAGGAAGGUCCCCCACAUUGGAACUGAGACACGGUCCAA